UACGGGGGGGGCAAGCGUUGUUCGGAAUUACUGGGCGUAAAGGGCGCGUAGGCGGCCUGCUAAGUCACACGUGAAAUCCCUCGGCUCAACCGGGGAACUGCGUGUGAUACUGGCGGGCUUGAAUUCGGGAGAGGGAUGCAGAAUUCCAGGUGUAGCGGUGAAAUGCGUAGAUAUCUGGAGGAAUACCGGUGGCGAAGGCGGCAUCCUGGACCGGCAUUGACGCUGAUGAGCGAAAGCUAGGGGAGCAAACGGG
rnacentral:rRNA from 1 species